GUUUCUGUAGUGUAGUGUUUAUCGCUACGCCUCACAUACAAAAGGUCCCUAGUUCGAAACCGGGAAGAAAACA